UAUCGGUAGCCAAUAAAGAAAUCCGAUCAUAAACGGACCAAUGAAAACCCUGAUAUUUUACCAGUGGCGCGUUCUCUUUCUCUCAUCUCCCCGACAGCGAGUCUGACACACACCCGCCUCCUCCUGUCACUCACACAUUUCAGUUACAGAGCCUGAAUGUCAGCGUGAGAUUGCAGCUUUCCGACCGUCCGCCCAGCAUGUCUUCCACCUCUCCUGUCCUCUCUCAUCUCCAUUCCAAGCACACGCGGUGUGAGGCUGCAGCGCGUGAAGGCAAGGACAGAGACUGCGGCUGCAUGAGGAGGACUAACCUCACUCAUUCAUAUUCACCCUCAUCUGGCUGGGGCCGGCGGGGCCGCACACAGACUUUAAUCAAGCCCCAGCCGUGUGUGAGAGGUGCUUUUAGUGCCACGGCCAAGCAGUGGGCAGAAUUAGCAUUUAAGAGUACAUUAGCCAUGCUGAAUUUCCAACCUCAUUACUGCGGGACUGGACAUGUUCCUGCUUUCCUGCAAUGUGUGGUAAUAUUCCCACCGUCUACUAGGAUAAGCUUGGGACACGUGCAUAUUCAUCCUGUACUUAAUCUUAAUAUCAAUUAGUGCUUCAAUUCACUAUCCGUUGAAUAGAUAUCGGGUGUGUAAGUAGUCUAUAUUAAAUCGGACUGUGGUAUAAGAGACAUGGAAAGGGCAGUAAUUAUUCACUUAGACUGUCCUCUUCAAAAGUCUAACACACCUUCAUUUGCAUUUCAUACAUAAAUAAAAGUAUCUGUUCCAAUAUUGCCAGUUCCUGACGAAAGCUGUUUGAAUAAAACAUGAAUAACACUGAA